UACGGAGGUGGCAAGCGUUGUUCGGAAUUACUGGGCGUAAAGGGCGCGUAGGCGGCAAGGCAAGUCAGGUGUGAAAGCCCCGGGCUCAACUCGGGAACUGCAUCUGAAACUGCUGUGCUUGAGUCCUGGAGGGGGUAGUGGAAUUCCCAGUGUAGCGGUGAAAUGCGUAGAUAUUGGGAGGAACACCGGUGGCGAAGGCGGCUACCUGGACAGUGACUGACGCUGACACGCGAAAGCUAGGGGAGCGAACGGG
rnacentral:rRNA from 1 species